UACGAAGGGGGCUAGCGUUGCUCGGAAUCACUGGGCGUAAAGGGUGCGUAGGCGGGUCUUUAAGUCAGGGGUGAAAUCCUGGAGCUCAACUCCAGAACUGCCUUUGAUACUGAAGAUCUUGAGUUCGGGAGAGGUGAGUGGAACUGCGAGUGUAGAGGUGAAAUUCGUAGAUAUUCGCAAGAACACCAGUGGCGAAGGCGGCUCACUGGCCCGGUACUGACGCUGAGGUGCGAAAGCGUGGGGAG
rnacentral:rRNA from 1 species